rnacentral:rRNA from 1 species
CCUACGGGUGGCAGCAGUGGGGAAUAUUGGACAAUGGGGGGAACCCUGAUCCAGCCAUGCCGCGUGUGUGAAGAAGGCCCUCGGGUUGUAAAGCACUUUCAGUGAGGAAGAACGCCUGGUGGUUAAUACCCAUCAGGAAAGACAUCACUCACAGAAGAAGCACCGGCUAACUCCGUGCCAGCAGCCGCGGUAAUACGGAGGGUGCGAGCGUUAAUCGGAAUUACUGGGCGUAAAGCGCGCGUAGGUGGCUUGAUAAGCCGGUUGUGAAAGCCCCGGGCUCAACCUGGGAACGGCAUCCGGAACUGUCAAGCUAGAGUGAAGGAGAGGAAGGUAGAAUUCCCGGUGUAGCGGUGAAAUGCGUAGAGAUCGGGAGGAAUACCAGUGGCGAAGGCGGCCUUCUGGACUGACACUGACACUGAGGUGCGAAAGCGUGGGUAGCAAACAGGAUUAGAUACCCCUGUAGUC